AGCUUCAAUGCACUUGUUGAGUAAGCCAGGGCCAUCUUCACGCAUGGGCCUGAGGGGAACUUGCCUGUGGGCCCAUCCUAAUCUGUGCAUGUUAACCCUCGCAAGAUCGGAAAACUUCAAAAUUGACAGUAGUUGUAGUUGUCGUAGGGGCCCCAGUACACUGCUUUGCCCGGGGCCCGUAAU